rnacentral:lncRNA from 1 species
CUUGGAUUAUGGGAGAAGCAAGAUAAAAGGAUGCUAAAGGCAGGAGAAGCAAUGGGAGAAUGUCUGCCUGGUGUCCCGUGGUCCCUGUGCAGCUGCUCCUCUCUAUUGUUUCUGUGAAGGGAUCAUGCAAGGUCUGCAAGUCUGCUGGAACCUGGAACACAGCAGCCCUCCUGCCCAGCCACCCCAUUCCUGAGCUUCCUCUCCAUGCAAGAGUCCACUUGUAAAACAAACAACGGGCUGGGAGUUGUGUCUCCCCUUCACCACCAGUAAGUACUUCAUGCAGGUAGAAAAGCCAGAGGAGGAAAAGGUAUUGAAACACAGUAGAAAAAACAAAUGAACAAAUGGAAAUAAUGAGUUGAACUCAGAGGCUCCCAGCUUCAGGAAUCAUUUCUGACACUUGGCAUUUGCCUCCUGCAGCAGAAGCGCGUCUUCGUUGUUUCUCCCUGUUCAAUUCUUCCACUUCUCGAUCCUCAAACUCAUGCAGGGAUUUGAAUGUGUUGGGUGGUUGGUUUCGUUGCUUAUUUUAAUUUUUUAAAACCAUAACUGCCUUGUGCUUAGGAGCCUGAUUAUUUUUCAGCUGGAUGUACAAAUCUCGGCCUCUCCCCGGCCUCUCGUCUUUCUGAUCUUCUACCCUCCACCGCAUGGGAGGGCACAGGUUCCCUUGUGUCCCAGCCCUGCUGCAGCAGGUGGUUAGACAAAACCGCAUUGUCAUUUAUAAACGCAGAAAUCAAGCUCUCUUUCUCUCCCCACCGUUUAUCCACCCACCCCCUUUUUCUGUUCUCUCUCCUUUCUCUCUGUUCCUUUUCUGUAAUGUCAAAUCUAUUCCACUAAGGGGUUGCUCUUUGACUAAUUCUGCCACUUAAUUUUCUAACAUUCAUUCUUGAUUCUCAAGGAGGAAACUCCCAUUUUGAGUGACAUUUCUCGUGACUGAAUGAAUGUGGACCCGUUUCUCAAUACGUCAAAGGAAAGGGUAUUCACAACCUAGCCUUGCUCUCAGGAGGUGGAGCGGGUUUUUUCACUCCCUAGAGGAAUGAAGAGUUGAGCCUGGAAUGUACACCACUGUCCAGCAAACCAGAAGGCCUCUGCAUUCUGCAGGUUCCGCUCUCUGGUCUGGAAAGAUCUCCCAGCAGGUGGAGGCCAUUGUCCUUGGCCUGACCCAGUCCCUGCUGAAGCAGUUAGAGGGCGAGGCCCAGACCUCCUCCAGACUCGGGACAAUCAGUGCCUGGGUUCAGACCCUGGGCACAGCUGGGCCUACUCCAGAAGGGUGUGGAAGGAGGAGAGGUGCAGACAGGAUUUGUCUAAGGCAGCACCCUUAGCACUUUGCCUCCAUCCUUGAUCCAGCCGUCUGGCCUGGCUUUCUUCUCAAUUUCUUUGGCCCUCAGUUUUCUGUUGUGUCUGCACCAGCAUUGCUGACUUUGGCAUUACCGAACCUUUAGCCUUUGGGCCAGCAUGCUCUGAUUUUGGAAUCUGACUUCUCUGCCCUGGACCCUGGGGUUGACAGGUGUUUAAUGAGGUGCACUCUGUUUCGUAAUCUGCUUUUUUCUUUUGAUCAUUAUUCUGAACAUUUCCUCUUGGUUGUUUACUGGACUUCUAAAUAUUAUUUUGAUGGUUGUGUUGUAAUGUAUCAUGAGAUCUCCCCUAAUAUAUUUAACUAAAUACCUUGUAGUUGGACAAUUAUGCUAUUUCCAAAUUUUCACUCUACCGAAUAAUGCCUUGGUAAGUAUUAGUGUAGUGAAAUCUUCACAGUUAUUUUUUAAAACACUUUAAAAUUACGCAUAUUGUAAACAAACAUGUUCUUGUUGAAAACUUCCUUAAAACCGGUAAGACUAAAGUCCUCAUUAACCAGCUUCAAUCGAGUUGUUAUAGCCAUCAUAGAGAC